rnacentral:rRNA from 1 species
AUUGAACGCUGGCGGCAGGCUUAACACAUGCAAGUCGAGCGAGCGGCGGACGGGUGAGUAAUGUCUGGGAAACUGCCUGAUGGAGGGGGAUAACUCCUGGAAACGGUAGCUAAUACCGCAUACCAUCAGAUGUGCCCAGAUGGGAUUAGCUAGUAGGUGGGGUAAUGGCUCACCUAGGCGACGAUCCCUCGCUGGUCUGAGAGGAUGACCAGCCACACUGGAGCUGAGACACGGUCCGGACUCCGACGGAAGGCAGCAGUGGGGAAUAUUGCACAAUGGGCGCCAUCGUGAUGCAGCCAUGCCGCGUGUAUGAAGAAGGCCUUAGGGUGGUAAAGUACUUUCAGCGGGGAGGCGUUACCCGCAGAAGAAGCACCGGCUAACUCCGUGCCAGCAGCCGCGGUAAUAC